ACUAUUGGAUUACAUCAAGAGAGACUUAGAUAAGACAUCAGGAAAUUCUUUCUAAUAUUAAAGAUUAUAAAACCUGAGAAUAGCCUACCUACAGAGAUCCGGAAAUGUUAACUACUGGAGGACUUGGAGCUGGCUGAACAAAUAUCUGCAGGAGUAACCCAGUGGCAUUUCCUGGCAUUAUCCACACAUACCCAGCAGAAAUGUUAUCAGUGCUUCGCUGUUUGGGAUGUUUAUUUAGCCAAUACCAUAAUUUUAUCAGGCAAGAUCUCCACAGAAUCAAAAGGGAAGAAGUGAUACUUUCCAAGCAUAAAACUGUUCUGGUGAAUUAUACAAAGUCUUCUGCACACAAGGGGAAACCUGCUGCACUUCAAGAAAAAAAAAAAGUUAAUUGGAUGAAGACUAUGGAAUGAAGAGCCUAACUCUUUGUGUUAGCUUUCAAAAAUCUUGGAAAGCAGUGGCAGCAUGACUGCAUAAGUAGAAUAACAGCAGCUGCAACAUCGAACUUCUGAACACCCUUCAACUUCUGCAGCAUCCAGUGCAAGAAUAUUUAAGCAUAUCUUUGCAUUGAUAUCCCUUAUUAGAUGUGUUCUCAGGAUCCUAAGGCUGCUACCAUUCUAACAAACAAAAUUACAGAUGGGUUUACUUAGGAUCACUUUGCAUCACACAGUAUUUUAGAAAACUCAACACAGGUUAUAAAAGAUGACGGUACUACUCUUCUGAAACAAAACUUCAAAUAUGCCAGCCCCUGAAAUGUCAAUACAUACUGUGAAUUGCAGGUUUCAGCCUUCUAUAUAAUUUCAGAGUUUUAAUUUAUGAAAAUAAGAAAUGUUUAAUUCACAAUGUAAAGAAUUUGGCCAACACUUGCACAAAUAUUUUUUUUUUUUACAUAAUGCUUAUGAAUUAGUCAUUUGGCAGGCAGGUACAGAGCUUGUUUAGCUCUCCUUCAGAAAACUUACAUCACUUGUGGUACUUUAGCUACAGUCUUAGGAGAUAUA